UACGGAGGGUGCAAGCGUUAAUCGGAAUUACUGGGCGUAAAGCGCACGCAGGUGGCUGAGUCAGUCGAUUGUGAAAGCCCUGGGCUUAACCUGGGAAUUGCAGUCGAUACUACUUAGCUAGAGUAUGGGAGAGGGCAGUGGAAUUCCCGGUGUAGCGGUGAAAUGACGUAGAUAUCGGGAGGAACAUCAGUGGCGAAGGCGGCUGCCUGGCCCAAUACUGACGCUGAGGCGCGAAAGCCAGGGGAGCAAACGGG
rnacentral:rRNA from 1 species